rnacentral:rRNA from 1 species
AUUGAACGCUGGCGGCAUGCUUUACACAUGCAAGUCGAACGGCAGCACGGGGGCAACCCUGGUGGCGAGUGGCGAACGGGUGAGUAACACAUCGGAACGUGUCCAGUUGUGGGGGAUAACCCAUCGAAAGGUGGGCUAAUACCGCAUGAGCUGGCAACAGGAAAGCGGGGGACCCGCAAGGGCCUUGUGCGAUUGGAGCGGCCGAUGUCCGAUUAGCUAGUUGGUGGGGUAAAGGCCUACCAAGGCUUCGAUCGGUAGCUGGU